rnacentral:tRNA from 1 species
GCAUUCGUAGAGUAGCGGCAGCACGCUCGACGCGUAUUCGAGAGGUCCGUGGUUCGAGUCCCGGCGAGGGCA